GCGGCGUGCUUUAUACAUGCAAGUCGAGCGAGAAAGUGACUUCGGUCGCGAGUACAGCGGCGAACGGGUGAGUAACACGUGGACAACCUGUCUGGGAGCGGGGAAUAACCUGGGGAAACCUGGACUAAUACCGCAUACGCUUUUCGAUCUCCGGAUCGAUUCGGAAAGGUGGCCUCUUCUUGAAAGCCAUCACUCCCAGGGGGGUCCGCGUCUGAUUAGCUAGUUGGUGGGGUAACGGCCUACCAAGGCUUCGAUCAGUAGCCGGCCUGAGAGGGCGAUCGGCCACACUGGAACUGAGACACGGUCCAGACUCCUACGGGAGGCAGCAGUAGGGAAUAUUGCGCAAUGGGGGAAACCCUGACGCAGCAACGCCGCGUGGAGGAUGAAGGCCUUCGGGUCGUAAACUCCUGUCAGAUGGGACGAAACAGUUGUCGGCGAAAUACCGGCAGCCUUGACGGUACCAUCAGAGGAAGCCCCGGCUAACUCCGUGCCAGCAGCCGCGGUAAUACGGAGGGGGCAAGCGUUAUUCGGAAUUAUUGGGCGUAAAGGGCGCGUAGGCGGCCUAGUAAGUCAAAGGUGAAAUCCCUCGGCCUAACCGAGGAACUGCCUUUGAAACUGCUUGGCUUGAGGCCGGGAGAGGGUAGUGGAAUUCCUAGUGUAGCGGUGAAAUGCGUAGAUAUUAGGAGGAACACCAGUGGCGAAGGCGACUACCUGGACCGGUACUGACGCUGAGGCGCGAAAGCGUGGGGAGCAAACAGGAUUAGA
rnacentral:rRNA from 1 species